UAUGGAGCCAUGGUUCACAGAUGCCAC
rnacentral:piRNA from 1 species